rnacentral:rRNA from 1 species
GAUGAACGCUGGCGGCGUGCCUAAUACAUGCAAGUCGAGCGAACAGACGAGGAGCUUGCUCCUUUGACGUUAGCGGCGGACGGGUGAGUAACACGUAGGUAACCUACCUAUAAGACUGGGAUAACUUCGGGAAACCGGAGCUAAUACCGGAUAAUAUUUCGAACCGCAUGGUUCGAUAGUGAAAGAUGGCUUUGCUAUCACUUAUAGAUGGACCUGCGCCGUAUUAGCUAGUUGGUAAGGUAACGGCUUACCAAGGCAACGAUACGUAGCCGACCUGAGAGGGUGAUCAGCCACACUGGAACUGAGACACGGUCCAGACUCCUACGGGAGGCAGCAGUAGGGAAUCUUCCGCAAUGGGCGAAAGCCUGACGGAGCAACGCCGCGUGAGUGAUGAAGGUCUUCGGAUCGUAAAACUCUGUUAUUAGGGAAGAACAAACGUGUAAGUAACUGUGCACGUCUUGACGGUACCUAAUCAGAGAGCCACGGCUAACUACGUG